GUUUCCAUAGUGUAACGGGUAUCACAUUUGUCUAAUAUGAAAAAGAUCCUUGGUUCAAAACUGGGAGGAAACA